GAUGAACGCUGGCGGCGUGCCUAAUACAUGCAAGUCAAGCGAACGGACGAGAAGCUUGCUUCUCUGAUGUUAGCGGCGGACGGGUGAGUAACACGUGGAUAACCUACCUAUAAGACUGGGAUAACUUCGUGAAACCGGAGCUAAUACCGGCUAAUAUUUUGAACCGCAUGGUUCAAAAGUGAAAGACGGUCUUGCUGUCACUUAUAGAUGGAUCCGCGCUGCAUUAGCUAGUUGGUAAGGUAACGGCUUACCAAGGCAACGAUGCAUAGCCGACCUGAGAGGGUGAUCGGCCACACUGGAACUGAGACACGGUCCAGACUCCUAAGGGAGGCAGCAGUAGGGAAUAUUCCGCAAUGGGCGAAAGCCUGACGGAGCAACGCCGCGUGAGUGAUGAAGGUCUUCGGAUCGUAAAACUCUGUUAUUAGGGAAGAACAUAUGUGUAAGUAACUGUGCACAUCUUGACGGUACCUAAUCAGAAAGCCACGGCUAACUACGUG
rnacentral:rRNA from 1 species